AUUGAACGCUGGCGGCAGGCCUAACACAUGAAAGUCGAACGAGUGGCGGAGGGGUGAGUAAUGUCUGGGAAACUGCACGAAGGAGGGGGAUAAAAACUGGAAACGGUAGCUAAUACCGAAUAAAAGCGGAUGGGCCAAGAUGGGAUUAUCUUGUAGUUGAGGUAACGGCUCAGCUAGGCGACGAUCCGUAGCUUGUCUGAGAGGAUGACCAGCCACACUGGAACUGAUACACGGCCCAGACUCCUACGGCAGGCAGCAGUGGGGAAUAUUGCACAAUGGGCGCAAGCCUGAUGCAGCCAUGCCGCGUGUAUGAAGAAGGCCUUCGGGUUGUAAAGUACUUUCAGCUGGGAGGCGUUACCCGCAGAAGAAGCACCGGCUAACUCCGUGCCAGCAGCCGCGGUAAUUC
rnacentral:rRNA from 1 species